AUACUUACCUGGCAUAGAGGUCAACCUUGAUCACGAAGGAGGUUCCUCCAGGGUGAGACUUGUUCAUUGCACUGGGAACGAGUUGACCUCUGCGAUUAUCCCUAAUGUGGAUAACUCGUUU
rnacentral:snRNA from 1 species